CCUACGGGCCGCAGCAGUGGGGAAUAUUGCACAAUGGGCGCAAGCCUGAUGCAGCCAUGCCGCGUGUAUGAAGAAGGCCUUCGGGUUGUAAAGUACUUUCAGUGGGGAGGAAGGCGAUAAGGUUAAUAACCUUGUCGAUUGACGUUACCCGCAGAAGAAGCACCGGCUAACUCCGUGCCAGCAGCCGCGGUAAUACGGAGGGUGCGAGCGUUAAUCGGAAUUACUGGGCGUAAAGCGCACGCAGUCGGUCUGUCAAGUCGGAUGUGAAAUCCCCGGGCUUAACCUGGGAACUGCAUUCGAAACUGGCAGGCUAGAGUCUUGUAGAGGGGGGUAGAAUUCCAGGUGUAGCGGUGAAAUGCGUAGAGAUCUGGAGGAAUACCGGUGGCGAAGGCGGCCCCCUGGACAAAGACUGACGCUCAGGUGCGAAAGCGUGGGGAGCAAACAGGAUUAGAUACCCCGGUAGUC
rnacentral:rRNA from 1 species